GGGAUUAGAUACCCCACUAUGCUUAGCCUUAAACCUAGAUGUUAAAUUUACAAACAACAUCCGCCAGGGUACUACAAGCGCUAGCUUAAAACCCAAAGGACUUGACGGUGUCUCAGACCCACCUAGAGGAGCCUGUUCUAGAACCGAUAAUCCCCGUUAAACCUCACCACCCCUUGUUUUCUCCGCCUAUAUACCGCCGUCGCAAGCUUACCCUGUGAAGGACUCAUAGUAAGCAAAAUGGGUAAAUCCCAAAACGUCAGGUCGAGGUGUAGCUUACGAGGUGGGAAGAAAUGGGCUACAUUUUCUAUAUCAGAAUAAUACGAACAGCACUAUGAAAUUAAUGCUUGAAGGUGGAUUUAGUAGUAAAAAACAAAUAGAGAGUCUUUUUGAACCAGGCUCUGAGACGCGCACACACCGCCC
rnacentral:rRNA from 1 species